rnacentral:rRNA from 1 species
GGCAGCANUGGGGAAUAUUGCACAAUGGGCGCAAGCCUGAUGCAGCAACGCCGCGUGAGGGAUGACGGCCUUCGGGUUGUAAACCUCUUUUAGCAGGGAAGAAGCGAAAGUGACGGUACCUGCAGAAAAAGCGCCGGCUAACUACGUGCCAGCAGCCGCGGUAAUACGUAGGGCGCAAGCGUUAUCCGGAAUUAUUGGGCGUAAAGAGCUCGUAGGCGGUUUGUCGCGUCUGCUGUGAAAUCCGGAGGCUCAACCUCCGGCCUGCAGUGGGUACGGGCAGACUAGAGUGCGGUAGGGGAGAUUGGAAUUCCUGGUGUAGCGGUGGAAUGCGCAGAUAUCAGGAG